CUGGCGGCAGGGAACCUCGUCAUUUCCUUGUGCCGGCAGCCCACUGUGAAAUUUCCACGGGGACAGAGAUUCAGUCUGUUUGGAAGACAGCUUCGUGCGGAUAUCUGCCCAUCCUAAGGCAAAUUUCCGCGUGGAAACGCGUCCGGCCUUCGGACGUCGGGCGACUUUCCACUUCUCGAGCACGCCACGUCUCCUCUCGCCUCUCGCUCGGAGUCGCUCGAGCACGCCGACGCCCCGCUUCCGCUCGCCUGAGCACGCUGCCACCUUCGCUCACCUAGAGUCGCUUGACGUUGUCGCCUCCGCUCGCCUGCCGCCGCUCCUCUCGCCUAGAGGCUGGAGUCGCCUGAGCACGUCGCCUUCUCUGGCCUAGAGUCUCCGAGCAUGUCGUCGCCUCGGUCACUCCGCCUCCUCAGGCGUUACUAGUCUGUGGUUGGGGACUUGAGGCAACAGAUAGCAGCAGGCAGUGACCAGUGUCAGGAUUAGAGAAUGUUAAGUGGAAACAACACAUGAAGCUAACAUGGAGAAGGAUGACAGUCGAUAUAAGCUGCUGCUGAUCAGCUUGCCAAGAGAGGACUCCUCAUCCAGCAGCCUGUCCUAUUUGUGGUCAGGAAGAAGAAUCAAUCCAGCGCCUGUGCUUUCCAGUGUCUUUGCUCAACAGGUUUGGUUUAUAAUUUUCCAGUGGCUGGGCCUCACUGCCAUGCCAUCACACCACAAUCUUCCACCGGCAUAUUCUCAAAUUGGUGGUGCAAGGUAAUGAAGGUGGUCCCCAAAGGUCGAGAAAGGGCUUAUUAUUUCACUAGCUGGAUGCCCGUGCGUUGCAACGGGAAUAUAUAAUACCAGUAUACUACGAUAACUUAUAUACAAAAUCUGUAUUAUAUUGUUAUGAGAAAAUGUUUCAUAAUCAAUUUGUGAUCCUAGCCAUACAUAAAUUUUGCUAUUUUAAUCUAGUUAUUUCACCACUACAUUGCAACCAU